rnacentral:rRNA from 1 species
AAUCAUCGACAAUGGGCGAAAUCCUGAUGGAGCAACUCCUCGUGUGUGAAGAAGGUUUUCGGAUCGUAAAACUCUGCUGUAAGGUCAGAACAAGCACAGUAGUAACUGGCUGUACCUUGACGGUACCUUAUUAGAAAACGACGGCUAACUACGUGCCAGCAGCCGCGGUAAUACGUAGGUGGCAAGCGUUGUCCGGAAUAAUUGGGCGUAAAGCGCGCGCAGGCGGUCCUUUAAGUCUGAUGUGAACGACAACGGCUCAACCGUGGAGGGUCAUUGGAAACUGGGGGACUUGAGUGCAGAAGAGGAAAGUGGAAUUCCAAGUGUAGCGGUGAAUGCGUAGAGAUUUGGAGGAACACAAGUGGCGAAGGCGACUUUCUGGUCUGUAACUGACGCUGAGGCGCGCAAGCGUGGGGAGCAAACA